rnacentral:misc_RNA from 1 species
GCUCAACAGAGUGUGCAUUGGUUAGAACCCUUCUUCCUUUAAUAACAAAACCACUACUACUGGAACUAUACUGUCGCUUCCGCUGCCAGGGAAGGGAAUAAUUGGGUUCGGUGUGAACACAAAAGACCUUCACUACAGCAUCCAUGGCGGGCAUCACCCUAGCAACAGAGGCAUUUAUAAUAGUAGUCUCAGAAGAAAUGAGAGACGGUACCCCAUUGGGUUUAUCGAUUAAGCGUCGUGUUGGGGAGGUGACUUUUAGGGUUUUUCCAUUUUCGGGGUUGGUGAGUUUGGGUAGAAGAGGUGUUUUACGCGGCCUCCCACGACGAGGACGGGGACGGGGACGGUGGGAAGUGGAAGAAGGAGGUGGAUCGAUUAGCUCAACGUUGCUAACUGAGAAAACAACAUCGUCAAUGUGGGGUGAAGUUGAUGUUGGGAUGUCUGGUGUUGCAGGGGGAUCUGAUUUUGGCUUUCUUCCUCGUUUUCGUUUGUUUACACCAGCCAUUGAUGAAUCGUUCGAGGUUUUCUCAAGAUGAUGUAAAGGAAAUUUGUGCCUGCGAUAGAGCGGGCAAAGGUUUUGA